AAGGGGUGGUAAUUUGGACCCUGCUGUUUUUUUGGAACCCUUUAAUAUCACAGAAACAGGCAGUGACAUCUACCAAAAAACUAUGUAACUACGUUGUACUGAUACCAUAGAGCAUAUUUGCUACCAAUAACGUCAAUUUUGCAUCGAAUUUGAUCUGUCACACACAGCUAACAUUUCACGUUAAAAUCAAACGUUUUUUUCUCUCCGUUGGAAAAACUGUAAAAGGUUUUUGUUUUAGUAUAAGACAAAUUCUGUGCGUGUUAUAGGGAGUCCAUACAGACUAGUUUAGAUUGUCGAAGGUGCGGGUAGUAUGGAACCGGGUUCCAAAUUACCCGCAAUGUAUUCAAUACAAUUUCUCUCCCUACAAACACCAACUUGAGGAGUCAAUCAAAUCUAUAGCGCAGAGAGGAAAAGAUCGAGGAAGAGCUCGGGGACGUAGUGGAAGGCAGGGUAUGCCAAACCCUUCUAGAUCUCGCUCGAACAGGCGGGAAUCUUCCUCUUCGGAUACUACGAUGUCAUCUGUUUCUUCAGGUAAAACUGCGGUGGCAGAAAAUUAUACCACACAAGCUCAGCCCACAAGCCACGAUGAUUAUUGUAUUUUUUGUUCAGAAUGUUUCUCAAAUAAUCAACAGGGUGAAAUUUGGAUUCAGUGCCAAUCUUGUGAGUUGUGGGCACAUAUUGAUUGCUCAG